rnacentral:lncRNA from 7 species
GGGGAGCGGUAUGUAGGGCAGUUAUGGGGCAGGGGGGGCUGCCUAUGGGGCACACUUAUGGGUCCCCCCCACUUAUGGGUCCCAUAUGGGGGUCUCUGGGGGUCACUUGAGGGUCCUGAUCUCACUUAUGGGUCCCACCCAACUUAUGGUCCCAUCCUCGAUCCCACUUAUGGGUGCACUUGGGGGUCUUUGGGGGUCUCUUAUGGGUCCCACUUGUGGGUCUCAGCACUCCACUUGUGGGUCUCAGCCCCCCACUUAUGGGUCCCACUUGUGGGUCUCAGCCCCCCACUUAUGGGUCCCCGCCCACUUACGGGCCCCAUUUAUGGGUUCCCCCCCCACUUAUGGGCCCCAUUUGGGGAUCUUUGGGGGUCACUUAUGGGUCCCACUUAUGGGUCCCCCUCCCACUUAUGGGUCCCCCCCCCACUUAUGGGUCCCCCCCCACUUACGGGCCCCAUUUAUGGGUUCCCCCCCCACUUAGGGGCCCCGCUUGUGGGUCUCAGCCCCCCACUUAUGGUUCCCCCCCCACUUAUGGGUCCCAUUUGGGGGUCUUUGGGGGUCACUUAUGGGUCCCACUUAUGGGUCCCCCCCCCCACUUAUGGGUCCCAUUUGGGGAUCUUUGGGGGGUCACUUAUGGGUCCCACUUAUGGGUCCCACCCCCACUUAUGGGCCCCAAUUGUGGGUCUCGGACCCCACUUAUGGGUCCCCCCCCCCACUUAUGGGUCCCAUUUGGGGAUGUUUGGGGGUCACUUAUGGGUCCCACUUAUGGGUCCCACCCCCCACUUAUGGGUCCCCACUUAUGGGUCCCCACUUAUGGGUCGCACUUGUGGGUCUGAGCCCCCCACUUAUGGGUCCCAUUUGUGGGUCUUUGGGGGGUCACUUAUGGGUCCCACUUGUGGGUCUCAGCCCCCCACUUAUGGGUCCCAUUUGGGGAUCUUUGGGGGUCACUUAUGGGUCCCACUUAUGGGUCCCACUCCCCACUUAUGGGUCUCCACUUAUGGGUCCCCACUUAUGGGUCGCACUUGUGGGUCUGAGCCCCCCACUUAUGGGUCCCCACUUAUGGGUCGCACUUGUGGGUCUGAGCCCCCCACUUAUGGGUCCCCCUCCACUUAUGGGUCCCACCUGUGGGUCUCAGCCCCCCACUUAUGGGUUCCCCCCCCCACUUAUGGGCCCCACUUGUGGGUCUUUAGGGGUCACUUAUGGGUCCCACUUAUGGGUCGCACUUGUGGGUCUGAGCCCCCCACUUAUGGGUCCCCACUUAUGGGUCGCACUUGUGGGUCUCAGCCCCCCACUUAUGGGUCCCACUUGUGGGUCUUUGGGGGGUCACUUAUGGGUCCCACUUACGGGUCACUUAUGGGUCCCACUUAUGGGUCCCACUCCCCACUUAUGGGCCCCCACUUAUGGGUCCCCACUUAUGGGUCGCACUUGUGGGUCUGAGCCCCCCACUUAUGGGUCCCCACUUAUGGGUCGCACUUGUGGGUCUGAGCCCCCCACUUAUGGGUCCCCACUUAUGGGUCGCACUUGUGGGUCUCAGUCCCCCACUUAUGGGUCCCCCCCCCCACUUAUGGGCCCCACUUGUGGGUCUUUAGGGGUCACUUAUGGGUCCCACUUAUGGGUCCCCACUUAUGGGUCCCCACUUAUGGGUCGCACUUGUGGGUCUGAGCCCCCCACUUAUGGGUCCCCCUCCACUUAUGGGUCGCACUUGUGGGUCUGAGCCCCCCACUUAUGGGUCCCCCUCCACUUAUGGGUCCCACUUGUGGGUCUCAGCCCCCCACUUAUGGGUUCCCCCCCCCCACUUAUGGGCCCCACUUGUGGGUCUUUAGGGGUCACUUAUGGGUCCCACUUAUGGGUCCCCACUUAUGGGUCCCCACUUAUGGGUCGCACUUGUGGGUCU